UGUGUCGUUCCCUUUCUUUCAUUGGUGCCGAAACCGGGGAGACGGGACACCCCAACUGGGCCCCGUCUUCCCCCCGACACCAGCAGCAGCUUGCCCUCGUCCUCUUUUUCCGGCGCUGGCUCCUCACACUCACCACUCCUCUCUGGCCUUUGGCUUUUACUCAGGAACUAUCAGCUUCUGGCCACAGAAGAUCCCUCACCCUCAUGUGACCUCCCCACCACACGCUGAGAUGGACCCCUCUCUCCACUGGAAAUUGUUCCUGGAAACAAUGGCCGCAGACGCCUGGCUUCUGGCACCCGUAUCCUCUUGGCACCAUUAGAAUCAACAAGUCCUCGACCUAUGGUUACAGGGAACCUUCAUUAAUUUCCAAUCUGAAGAAGUCCACAUCUACUCGUCCUUACUGUGGGGAGUCCUAUCAACCCUUUCCUCCCAGUCCUCAAGCCCUCACUCCCUUCUCCGCCCCCGUUCAGCAGGAAGCAGUCAGAGAGAAA